rnacentral:rRNA from 1 species
UGAACCAGUACCGUGAGGGAAAGGCGAAAAGAACCCCGGCGAGGGGAGUGAAAAAGAACCUGAAACCGUGUACGUACAAGCAGUGGGAGCACCUUCGGGUGUGACUGCGUACCUUUUGUAUAAUGGGUCAGCGACUUAUAUUCUGUAGCAAGGUUAACCGUAUAGGGGAGCCGCAGGGAAACCGAGUCUUAACUGGGCGUUAAGUUGCAGGGUAUAGACCCGAAACCCGGUGAUCUAGCCAUGGGCAGGUUGAAGGUUGGGUAACACUAACUGGAGGACCGAACCGACUAAUGUUGAAAAAUUAGCGGAUGACUUGUGGCUGGGGGUGAAAGGCCAAUCAAACCGGGAGAUAGGCUGGAUUCUCCCCGAAAGCUAUUUAGGUAGCGCCUCGUGAAUUCAUCUUCGGGGGUAGAGCACUGUUUCGGCUAGGGGGUCAUCCCGACUUACCAACCCGAUGCAAACUACGAAUACCGAAGAAUGUUAUCACGGGAGACACACGGCGGGUGCUAACGUCCGUCGUGAAGAGGGAAACAACCCAGACCGCCAGCUAAGGUCCCA